rnacentral:rRNA from 1 species
AGUGAACGCUGGCGGUAGGCCUAACACAUGCAAGUCGAACGGCAGCACAGUAAGAGCUUGCUCUUACGGGUGGCGAGUGGCGGACGGGUGAGGAAUACAUCGGAAUCUACUUUUUCGUGGGGGAUGACGUAGGGAAACUUACGCUAAUACCGCAUACGACCUACGGGUGAAAGCAGGGGAUCUUCGGACCUUGCGCGAUUGAAUGAGCCGAUGUCGGAUUAGCUAGUUGGCGGGGUAAAGGCCCACCAAGGCGACGAUCCGUAGCUGGUCUGAGAGGAUGAUCAGCCACACUGGAACUGAGACACGGUCCAGACUCCUACGGGAGGCAGCAGUGGGGAAUAUUGGACAAUGGGCGCAAGCCUGAUCCGGCCAUACCGCGUGGGUGAAGAAGGCCUUCGGGUUGUAAAGCCCUUUUGUUGGGAAAGAAAAGCAGCAGGUUAAUACCCCGCUGUUCUGACGGUACCCAAAGAAUAAGCACCGGCUAACUUCGUG